rnacentral:rRNA from 1 species
GUCGAGCGGACCGACGGGAGCUUGCUCCCUUAGGUCAGCGGCGGACGUGUGAGUAACACGUGGGUAACCUGCCUGUAAGACUGGGACCUCUCCAGGAAACCGGGGCUAAUACCGGAUGCUUGAUUGAACCGCAUGGUUCAAUCAUAAAAGGCGGCUUCGGCUGCCGUUUACCGAUGGACCCGCGGCGCAUUAGCUAGUUGGUGAGGUAACGGCUCACCAAGGCGACGAUGCGUAGCCGACCUGAGAGGGUGAUCGGCCACACUGGGACUGAGACACGGCCCAGACUCCUACGGGAGGCAGCAGUAGGGAAUCUUCCGCAAUGGACGAGAGUCUGACGGAGCAACGCCGCGUGAGUGAUGAAGGUUUUCGGAUCGUAAAGCUCUGUUGUUAGGGAAGAACAAGUACCGUU